UCGCAGUGAGUCAUUUUUUAGGAGGAGAGAUCAUAUGCAUUGUUAAAAAUAAGCUUUUGAAAACAGCAGUUCUUUUAUGCCAACUGUGUCCUGUUUAGAUCAGCAGAUUAAACAAACCCAAAGCUGAAAUUCAGCGCAAGUUGAAGUUUCUCAGCAAAUCAAAAAUGAAAAGGGACAGCAUUUGUUUUGUAACUCCCUAGAAGGAGAGCGUAGCAAACAAAAGGCAAAGAGAUGACCAUCAAGUAUCUAUAUUGACUCAUCUUCAAAUGAGAAAAGAAGCCAAUUUCCAAACAGCAUGGACUUAAGGAAAAUAAAAGGCACAAACAUAAAUUAGCAGCGGCUAGAAUGUUCCUGAGAAGCAUGAGACUAACUGACCAAAAGAAAACUUCCAACCUUCAUACUAUGUAGUGUUGAUGAAGAACACAGGGCUGAUGAAAAUGCAGCUGACUAAGAACUAGGACUACUCUCUAGAGACCUUUCCUAAAAAUGCUAUCAUCAGUAAUAACUCCCUGCUGAUAAGUUCUUUUGAGACCUCUGAGACAGCUCUUAAUCCAUUUAAGGAUGUACUUUACUGAUACUGCAUAUCCUUAUACUUUUAUCAACGUGUCAUAUAUAGCGAAUCAAAUGCUACGUAUUCCCUUCAACAAUAACUGUAAUAAAUGAAAGCCUGUUUUUCAUAAAAAUCUUACUAAGCUUAUUUAUAAAUGAUAUUAAUAUUGUGUAUUAAUUAUAAAUCUUCCAUUUUAUAUUUUGUCAAGAGAAUCCUUAUAAUUUCUCCACCAUUUUGCUAUGAACUGGUGUUACCUAGAGCAUUUCUUUUGACCUGCUCAUCCCUCUUGGCUUCUUGGAUAUUCACAAAAUACCAGUAUGGUUUUAAUCUUCAGAAUUAUCCAUAUGCAAAGAGUUACUCAGACCUGACAUUUGCAGGAGACAACCCUAAAAGUCACCGAUUUUAGCACUCUGGGGUGUGAGCUAUCUCGGCUUGUCAGCAGGAAAUUUUCUCCAGCUAAUAUGUCAUUUAAAAUCCACAUUAGCUACUAAUGGUGCAAUUCAUCUCACCUAAAUUCUUCUAAAAUUAGUUGUCUAAAUUACCUAGGAUGCCCUCAAUAGAGAAAGAAAGAUUAGAUCCUACACAGACCUAAUUGAUUCCAUCUAUCCUGAUAUAACUUGAAGAGAAUCAGAAAAAUUUAUAUAUAUAUCUGUAACGUAUUUAAAUAUAAAAAUAUUGAUAAUAAUAGGUGAAAAAACAUCACAUAGAUUCAUAUAUUGUAAAACUUUGUGUAAAGAGAAUUUUCAGGAACCCUAAAACAAAUAUGAGGGUGAGGCCAAACAAACACCAGUUUUGCUUUUAAGGACUAUUGUCUUCAUGUCUGCUAAAGAAAACUAAGUGUGUUCCAUGGGAGCUAGACAAAUGGUUGCAUAACUUAUUACACAUACAGAAUUAAACAAGUACAGACAUCUUACAGCCCAGAAGGCCAGCUGUAUCCUGGGUUGCAUCAAGAAGAGCAUGACCAGCAGGUCAAGGGAGGUGAUUCUGCUCU